AGCAGUAUGGUAUAGUGGCUUAGGAAUUUGGCUUUUACCCAAAUGUUGGCAGGUUCGAUUCCCUGGUGGUG